GACAUAGGUUGCGAACGUUAUCCGAAAUUAUUGGGCGUAAAGAGCUCGUAGGCGGUUUGUCGCGUCUGCCGUGAAAGUCCGGGGCUCAACUCCGGAUCUGCGGUGGGUACGGGCAGACUAGAGUGAUGUAGGGGAGACUGGAAUUCCUGGUGUAGCGGUGAAAUGCGCAGAUAUCAGGAGGAACACCGAUGGCGAAGGCAGGUCUCUGGGCAUUAACUGACGCUGAGGAGCGAAAGCAUGGGGAGCGAACAGG
rnacentral:rRNA from 1 species